rfam:Gossypium raimondii Chr05_contig_391, whole genome shotgun sequence.
AACCCAUGCAUCGGACAUUUCUAAAGUAAUUCUUUAAAUCUUUCCCAAGCUUCAUACAGUGUUUCAUCCUCUAAUUGUCGAAAAGACGUGACGUCAUUUUUAAGCUU